UCGGGAAUAUUGCGCAAUGGAGGAAACUCUGACACAGUGACGCCGCGUAUAGGAAGAAGGUUUUCGGAUUGUAAACUAUUGUCGUUAGGGAAGAGAAAGGACAGUACCUAAGGAGGAAGCUCCGGCUAACUACGUGCCAGCAGCCGCGGUAAUACGUAGGGAGCGAGCGUUAUCCGGAAUUAUUGGGUGUAAAGGGUGCGUAGACGGGAGAACAAGUUAGUUGUGAAAUACCUCGGCUCAACUGAGGAACUGCAACUAAAACUGUACUUCUUGAGUGCAGGAGAGGUAAGUGGAAUUCCUAGUGUAGCGGUGAAAUGCGUAGAUAUUAGGAGGAACACCAGUGGCGAAGGCGACUUACUGGACUGUAACUGACGUUGAGGCACGAAAGUGUGGGGGAGCAAACAGGAUUAGAUACC
rnacentral:rRNA from 1 species